rnacentral:rRNA from 1 species
AGCAGCCGCGGUAAUUCCAGCUCCAAUAGCGUAUAUUAAAGUUGUUGCAGUUAAAAAGCUCGUAGUUGAAUUUCAGGCCUGGCUGGACGGUCCGCCCUUCGGGUGAGUACUGUCUGUGGUCGGGUCCUACCUUCUGGCGAAGCGUCAUGGCCUUAACCGGCCGUGGCGGGGAACCAGGACUUUUACUGUGAAAAAAUUAGGGUGUUCAAAGCAGGCAAUCGCUUGGAUACAUUAGCAUGGAAUAAUGGAAUAGGACAAUGGUUCUAUUUGUUGGUUUCUAGGACCGUUGUAAUGAUUAAUAGGGAUAGUUGGGGGCAUUAGUAUUCAAUUGUCAGAGGUGAAAUUCUUGGAUUUAUUGAAGACUAACUACUGCGAAAGCAUUUGCCAAGGAUGUUUUCAUUAAUCAAGAACGAAAGUUAGGGGAUCGAAGACGAUCAGAUACCGUCGUAGUCUUAACCAUAAACUAUGCCGACUAGGAAUCGGGCGAUGUUGAAAAAAUGACGC